rnacentral:rRNA from 1 species
GACGAACGCUGGCGGCGUGCUUAACACAUGCAAGUCGAACGCUGAAGCACCAGCUUGCUGGUGUGGAUGAGUGGCGAACGGGUGAGUAAUACGUGAGUAACCUGCCCUUGACUCUGGGAUAAGCCCGGGAAACUGGGUCUAAUACUGGAUGCUACAUGUCACCGCAUGGUGGUGUGUGGAAAGGGUUUACUGGUCUUGGAUGGGCUCACGGCCUAUCAGCUUGUUGGUGAGGUAAUGGCUCACCAAGGCGACGACGGGUAGCCGGCCUGAGAGGGUGACCGGCCACACUGGGACUGAGACACGGCCCAGACUCCUACGGGAGGCAGCAGUGGGGAAUAUUGCACAAUGGGCGAAAGCCUGAUGCAGCGACGCCGCGUGAGGGUUGACGGCCUUCGGGUUGUAAACCUCUUUCAGCAGGGAAGAAGCCACAAGUGACGGUACCUGCAGAAGAAGCGCCGGCUAACUACGUG